rnacentral:rRNA from 1 species
UUCGGAGCGCUGACGAGUGGCGAACGGGUGAGUAACGCGUAGGAACCUAUCCAGAGGUGGGGGACAACAUUCGGAAACGAAUGCUAAUACCGCAUAACCUCUACGGAGGAAAGGCUUCGGCCGCCCUUGGCGGGUCCUGCGUCGGAUUAGCUAGUUGGUGGGGUAACGGCCCACCAAGGCGACGAUCCGUAGCUGGUCUGAGAGGAUGAUCAGCCACACUGGGACUGAGACACGGCCCAGACUCCUACGGGAGGCAGCAGUGGGGAAUAUUGCGCAAUGGGCGAAAGCCUGACGCAGCAAUGCCGCGUGAGUGAAGAAGGUCUUCGGAUUGUAAAGCUCUUUCAGCAGGGACGAUAAUGACGGUACCUGCAGAAGAAGCUCCGGCUAACUCCGUGCCAGCAGCCGCGGUAAUACGGAGGGAGCGAGCGUUGUUCGGAAUUACUGGGCGUAAAGGGCGCGCAGGCGGUUUGACAAG